CAGAUGGCAGGGAUCUCAGAAAAGUCAUGGGCUAGGGGCCUUUGCUAAAUGGGAUGUUUACUACCGUGCAUUUCUCUCAUCAUAUCGGAGAUGCCACCGGCCCCGAGCACAUUUAGAAAUUACAGCCUCAUCACAAAAAGCAAAGGUUUGUUUCCUGCCUGCAAAACGAAGGGCAGGAACUACGGUAACUACAGGGUUCAAGUACGCGGAAUAUGUCAUUCUGAAAAUUCUCCCUGCAAGCCAUUUAGCCUCCAGUGUCUGAACCAGCCAUCCUACUGUGAACAAAACCUUUAAAACAGAUCUGAUAGAAAAAUCUGUGUCCGGCUGAGGCAUUCCACGUGGCCAAAAUUACUUCUGUCUCUCCUGCCCUUCCAAGGGAGACUUGGGCAGUCUGAAGCUUGCCCUAGAAAACGCUGCCCCUCUAUGCUCUUGAACUCCAUUUAUCUAUAGUUGAUUGUCAUUACUCACAGAAGUUAUGUUCUAUAAAGUCUCCACAAACAAUGAAUUCACAAAUACUGAACUAUUGCUCCUAGGGGAAACACACGGGAAACACACCUGCGAGCUGCUGGUGACAGCAUUUUCGUUAAUUGAUGAA